rnacentral:rRNA from 1 species
UACGUAGGGUGCAAGCGUUACUCGGAAUUACUGGGCGUAAAGCGUGCGUAGGUGGUGGGUUAAGUCUGUCGUGAAAGCCCCGGGCUCAACCUGGGAAUGGCGAUGGAUACUGGCUCGCUAGAGUGCGGUAGAGGAGAGUGGAAUUCCCGGUGUAGCAGUGAAAUGCGUAGAGAUCGGGAGGAACAUCAGUUGCGAAGGCGGCUCUCUGGACCAGCACUGACACUGAGGCACGAAAGCGUGGGGAGCAAACAGG